CCUAUAUCAAGUUGAAACACCGGUUCCCGUCCGAUCACAGAAAUUAAGCCAUAACGAGCCUGGUCAGUGUCUAGAUGGGUUAACACUUGGGAAUAUCAGGGGCUACAA